UAGAGCUACAGUCUCUUCCAGGUUUCAGGGGUGGCUUGUUUGACCCUGGGGUAAAAAUCCAAGUUGCUUAAAUCAUAAAUUCUCACAUUCUUGGCCCAGGAGUGAGUGUAGGAUUGUAGAAGAGAUUUGGAGUUAGUCAUUGGUUUCAAUAAUAAAUGACUAGCUGUGCACCUUGGACAAGUUACUUGAUUUGCCUGAGCCUUGAUUUCUUCAUCUGGAAACCACUGCCUGGUAGAUAUAGACCCUAUCAUAUCCAAAAUUCACUAUUGAUCUGAAGGGUCAUGAUGUUAUAGGAUGGUCAGAUUCAUUGUUUCUGGAUCUUUAAAUUCAGACUUGAUAAGAGACAUAAAGUUGAAACCAAAACCACACGUUUUCAGCUGCCAUGUGGUGAGGAUACUCAAUGGGAGACCCAUGUGGAAAGGAACUGAGGCCCCAGUCAACAGCCAAGACCAACUUGCCAGUCAUGUGAGUUAGCCAACUUGAAAAUGCAUCAAACUGCAGCCUGAAGAGAGACUCUGAGCCACAACUGCCCAGCUGAGCCACUUCCAAAUUCCUGACACACAGACACUGUUAGAGAUAAUAAAUUGUUAUUGUUGUUUCAAGUCACUAAGUUUUAGAGGGGAUUUCUUAUGCAGCAAUAGAUUAUGUAAGAUCCAUUUCUCUAGCGUCAACUCUCAUUAACCAAGCACAGAGCCCAAUAUAUAAACCAGAAUAGCAACUUACUAAUAUGCUUUGAGAUACACAACUCUUG
rnacentral:lncRNA from 1 species